GUGGGGAAUUUUGCGCAAUGGGCGAAAGCCUGACGCAGCAACGCCGCGUGCGGGAUGACGGCCUUCGGGUUGUAAACCGCUUUCAGUGGGAAAGAUAAUGACGGUACCCACACAAGAAGCUCCGGCUAAAUACGUGCCAGCAGCCGCGGUAAUACGUAUGGAGCAAGCGUUAUCCGGAUUUAUUGGGCGUAAAGCGCGCGUAGGCGGCUUGUUAAGCAAGGUCUUAAAUCUUGGGGCUCAACCUCAAGCCGGAUCUUGAACUGGCAGGCUCGAGUAUGGUAGAGGAAAGUGGAAUUCCCAGUGUAGCGGUGGAAUGCGCAGAUAUUGGGAAGAACACCGAUGGCGAAGGCAGCUUUCUGGGCCAUUACUGACGCUGAGGUGCGAAAGCUAGGGGAGCAAACAGGAUUAGAAACCCCAGUAGUCC
rnacentral:rRNA from 1 species